rnacentral:misc_RNA from 1 species
UUUCCGUAGGUGAACCUGCGGAAGGAUCAUUACCGAGUUAGGGUCCUCUGGGCCCGAUCUCCCAACCCUUUGUUUAUUAUACCUUUUGUUGCUUCGGCGAGCCCGUUGUCUCACGACGACCGCCGGAGGACCGCUUAACGGCGUCCUCUGGUCCGCGCCCGCCGAUGGCCCCAAAAUCUCAAAAUUCUUGUAUGAAUCGUGUCUUUACCUAAGUCUUGAUUUAAUCAAAAACAAAACUUUCAACAACGGAUCUCUUGGUUCUG